rnacentral:rRNA from 1 species
GGGUGCGAUCAUACCAGCGCUAAUGCACCGGAUCCCAUCAGAACUCCGCAGUUAAGCACGCUUGGGCUAGAGUAGUACUGGGAUGGGUGACCUCCCGGGAAGUCCUAGUGUUGCACCCU